rnacentral:rRNA from 1 species
CUGCCCGUAGCAGGGGGAUAAGCGGAAGAAAUUCCGUCUAAUACCGCGUAAUAACUCCGAGAGGCAUCUCCUGGGGUUUAAAGGGUAACACCGGCUACGGAUGGCCAUGCGGCGCAUUAGCUAGUUGGCGGGGUAACGGCCCACCAAGGCGACGAUGCGUAGGGGUUCUGAGAGGAAGGUCCCCCACACUGGUACUGAGACACGGACCAGACUCCUACGGGAGGCAGCAGUGAGGAAUAUUGGUCAAUGGGCGCGAGCCUGAACCAGCCAAGUCGCGUGAGGGAAGACGGUCCUAUGGAUUGUAAACCUCUUUUGUCGGGGAGCAAAAGACGCCACGCGUGGCGUUCCGAGAGUACCCGAAGAAAAAGCAUCGGCUAACUCCGUGCCAGCAGUCGCGGUAAUACGGAGGAUGCGAGCGUUAUCCGGAUUUAUUGGGUUUAAAGGGUGCGCAGGCGGAAGAUCAAGUCAGCGGUAAAAUUGAGAGGCUCAACCUCUUCGAGCCGUUGAAACUGGUUUUCUUGAGUGAGCGAGAAGUAUGCGGAAUGCGUGGUGUAGCGGUGAAAUGCAUAGAUAUCACGCAGAACUCCGAUUGCGAAGGCAGCAUACCGGCGCUCAACUGACGCUCAUGCACGAAAGUGUGGGUAUCGAACAGGAUUAGAUACCCUGGUAGUCCACACGGUAAACGAUGA